AGCAGCAGCCACGGUUGCCAGGCAACGCGCGGUCCCCGCCGCGGUUGGCGCGGCGUUCAGCCUGGCCAUGGGGCCGCUGGGCGUUCGGCCGCUCCUGCUUCUGCUUCUGGAUUGCUGGGCCUCGGUGAGCGCCCAGACCAGGGCUACUCCACCUGUGCCGACGGAGGGCCUCAACUCUACGGAGGCAGCCCGGACGACUCCCCGACCCGCCUUGUCUCCGAGGCCCUUUGGAACUCCCAAGGCCCCCGUCCCCACCUCUGGCCCCAGGCCCACCCCGGUCACGGACGUUGCUGCUCUGUGCGUCUGUGACCUGACUCCCGCUCAGUGUGACGUCAACUGCUGCUGUGAUCCUGAUUGCAGCUCCACGGAUGUCAGUGUCUUUUCUGCCUGUUCAGUUCCAGUUGUCACGGGUGAUAGUCAGUUUUGUAGUCAAAAAGCAGCCAUCUAUUCAUUGAAUUUUACAGCAGAUCCACCUCAAAGGAUAUUUAAACUUGUUGACCAGAUUAAUCCAUCUAUUUUCUGCGUUCAUAUUACAAACUAUAAACCUGCGUUAUCCUUUAUUAAUCCAGAAGUGCCUGAUGAAAAUAAUUUUGAUAAAUUGAUGAAAACAUCUGAUGGUUUUUCCUUCAGUUCAGAAUCAGAGAUUUCUUUCUCAACCCAGUCGGACACUCUAACUCCUGCUAAAUAUAAGUAUGGGUCUCCUCUCCAGACUUCAGAUUCCUUCUUGAGAUUUCCCUCUCCCCUUACGUCAUCUCUGUGCACUGAUAAUAACCCUGCAGCAUUUCUGGUGAACCAAGCUGUUAAGUGCACCAGAAGAAUAAAUUUGGAACAGUGUGAAGAAAUUGAAGCCCUGGGCAUGGCUUAUUACAGCAGUCCUAAAAUUCUGAGGGUUCCUGGUUUAAGAACAGAGGCAGAGAUCCCUGUCACUGUUCAGUCCGUCCUCGUGCAGUCUCUGAAUAAAACACUGACCCGGCUGGAGGACACGGUCGAAUUGAACCAGACUCUUGUCGAGGCUGGGGAUGUUAAAAUCUGCACUAACAUCGUUCUCGAGGCGAAGUACAGCAUCACGUACACAGACGCAGGGGAGGUAGCCCAGGCUGGCCUCGCUCUCCUUCUGGGGACGGUGAGGCGGGCAGUGGUCGCACUCGAGCAGAAGUUUGAAAUUCAUUUCAUUCAGCAAAAUACAAAGCCAGUUCCUCUCAGCGGAAACCCUGGUUAUGUCGUGGGGCUCCCGUUAGCUGCCGGAUUUCGGCCUCAGAAGGGAUCUGGGAUUAUUCAGACCAUGAACAGAUUCGGACAACUUACUAUUCUUCGUGGCCUAGCCGAGCAAGACUGCUUCGCAGUGGAGGGGAUCCGGGCCCCAGUAUUAUUUGGUUACGACAUGCAGUCUGGCUGUAAAUUAAGACUGCCCAAAGCCAUGACGUGCCAGCUCGCAGUGCGGAGAGUGAAGAGCCUCCUGCAGGGCCAAGGCUUCCCGGACUAUGUGGCCCCUUUCGGAAAUUCCCAGGCCCAGGAUGUGCUGGACUGGGUACCGGUCCACUUCAUCACCCAGGCAUCCCACGUGAAGGACUCUUGCCAGCUCCCUGUGGCUUUGGUGAUAGAAGUGAAGUGGACUAAAUACGGGUCCUUACUAAACCCACAAGCUAAAGUAGUAAAUGUGACCGCAAGUCUCCUGUCAUCUUCCUUUCCUGAGACCAACUCAGGAAGCGAGAGGACGGUUCUCAUUUCCACUGCGGUUACUUUUGUGGACGCAUCUGCACCUGCCGAGGCAGGCUUCAGAGCUCGGCCAACCAUCAACGCCAAGCUGCCGUUUAAUUUCUUCUUUCCGUUUGUCUGACAAUGCUCAUAGGAGAGGACGCCUUGGUUCCUUAUACAUGCGAAAUGUGAAAAGAAAACACUAGCCAGGAAGAGGAGGAACCAUGACCUCUGGGCCCAGUCCCAGGCUCCGCCCAGCCAGCUGUCCCUCUGUGGCCUGAGAGGACAGGGGACAUACCGUUGAUGAUCCGGGCCACCCGCCACAGCCGGAGCAGAAUCAGCAGGCCAAGAGCCUCAAACUGGUGCUUCUGGAAUAGGAGGAUGAAGUCGAGGAUGAAGGAAACCAGCACCACAAAGGCGUCCAGGAUUUCAAACUUGUGGUGAAAGAACUCCAUGCGGAAGACAAAUAACUUAAAGAAUAUCUCCAUCAUAAAGAAGGUCAGGAUGGCAAAGCUCAUGUAGUGGAAGACCUGGAGAGGACAGAAGAGGCACAGUGAGAACGAUCCAGGGCUGCCCAAAGGCUGGAGCAGGGCGCACACAUGUGCUGGGCUGCAGAGCCCCUGCCUGGGCACCACAGAGCAAAUGCACUUGACCCAUCCCAAACUCCCCAGGGGCUGUUCUCUGACUGGGGCCACGCAGGUUUGAAAACCAUCAUGCCUUUCGGCCCAGUAAUUCCAAAUGCUCGUAUUUCAUCCCACAGCUCUGCUCACACGGGCACAAAGGCAUGUUGUAGGGAUCUUUGCUGUAGCAUCAUUUGCAGACAUAAGAUUUUCUACCUUGUUCAUAGAAUAGAAAUUCUAUUGGAGGGCACCUGUCAGAUCCCUUACAGUCCCUCCAUAGGGAGCGCAAUGCAAUUGUUAAAGACCAAGGCUAACUCCUAGGUAUUGACUAAAAAUGAUUACUUAGGUAGAUGGUAAUUGAGGAGGCUUCCUGGAUCUUGAUUUAGAAAUACUAGCUCUUGGGGCACCAGGGUGGCUCAGUGGUUAAGCCUCUGCCUUCAGCUCGGGUCACGGUCUCAGGGUCCUAGGAUCGAGCCCCACAUCGCGCUCUCUGCUCGGCAGGGAGCCUGCUCCCCCCCCCCCCCCGCGCCUACUUGUGUUCUCUCUGUCAAAUAAAUAAAAUCUUUAUAAAAAAAGAAA